rnacentral:rRNA from 1 species
GAGUUUGAUCCUGGCUCAGGAUGAACGCUAGCGGCAGGCCUAAUACAUGCAAGUCGAACGGUAAGGCUCCUUCGGGAGUACACGAGUGGCGCACGGGUGCGUAACGCGUAUGCAACCUACCUUGAACUGAGGGAUAGCCCAGAGAAAUCUGGAUUAAUACUUCAUACAAAUAUAAUUUGGCAUCAUUUUAUAUUUAAAGCUCCGGCGGUUUAAGAUGGGCAUGCGUGACAUUAGUUAGUUGGUGAGGUAACGGCUCACCAAGACAGCGAUGUCUAGGGGUUCUGAGAGGAUUUUCCCCCACACUGGUACUGAGACACGGACCAGACUCCUACGGGAGGCAGCAGUAAGGAAUAUUGGGCAAUGGACGAAAGUCUGACCCAGCCAUGCCGCGUGCAGGAUGACAGCCCUAUGGGUCGUAAACUGCUUUUAUAUGGGAAGAAACUCCACUACGUGUAGUGGACUGACGGUACCGUAAGAAUAAGCAUCGGCUAACUCCGUGCCAGCAGCCGCGGUAAUACGGAGGAUGCGAGUGUUAUCCGGAUUUAUUGGGCUUAAAGGGUGCGUAGGCGGAAUAGUAAGUCAGUGGUGAAAUCCUGCAGCUUAACUGUAGAACUGCCAUUGAUACUGCUAAUCUUGAGUAUAGUUGAGGUGGGCGGAAUGUGUAAUGUAGCGGUGAAAUGCAUAGAUAUUACACAGAACACCGAUUGCGAAGGCAGCUCACUAAACUAUUACUGACGCUAAGGCACGAAAGCGUGGGGAGCGAACAGGAUUAGAUACCCUGGUAGUCCACGCCGUAAACGUUGAUUACUCGCUGCUGGCAAUACAUUGUCAAGCGACUGACCGAAAGCAUUAAGUAAUCCACCUGGGGAGUACGUUCGCAAGAAUGAAACUCAAAGGAAUUGACGGGGGCCCGCACAAGCGGAGGAACAUGUGGUUUAAUUCGAUGAUACGCGAGGAACCUUACCUGGGCUUAAAUGCAGAACGACGUUUCGGGAAACCGAUUCUCCCUUCGGGGCGUUCUACAAGGUGCUGCAUGGUUGUCGUCAGCUCGUGCCGUGAGGUGUCGGGUUAAGCCCCAUAACGAGCGCAACCCUUAUCGUUAGUUGCCAGCGGGUCAUGCCGGGGACUCUAACGAAACUGCCGGUGUAAACCGCGAGGAAGGUGGGGAUGACGUCAAAUCAGCACGGCCCUUACGUCCAGGGCUACACACGUGUUACAAUGGCCGAUACAAAGGGCAGCUACCAGGUGACUGGAUGCUAAUCUCGAAAGUCGGUCUUAGUUCGGAUCGAAGUCUGCAACUCGACUUCGUGAAGCUGGAUUCGCUAGUAAUCGUAGAUCAGCAAUGCUACGGUGAAUACGUUCCCGGGCCUUGUACACACCGCCCGUCAAGCCAUGGAAGCUGGGGGUACCUGAAGUCUGUCACCGCAAGGAGCGGCCUAGGGUAAAACUGGUAACUGGGGCUAAGUCGUAACAAGGUAGCCGUA